GAUGAACGCUGGCGGCGUGCCUAAUACAUGCAAGUCGAGCGAACAGACGAGGAGCUUGCUCCUCUGACGUUAGCGGCGGACGGGUGAGUAACACGUGGAUAACCUACCUAUAAGACUGGGAUAACUUCGGGAAACCGGAGCUAAUACCGGAUAAUAUAUUGAACCGCAUGGUUCAAUAGUGAAAGACGGUUUUGCUGUCACUUAUAGAUGGAUCCGCGCCGCAUUAGCUAGUUGGUAAGGUAACGGCUUACCAAGGCAACGAUGCGUAGCCGACCUGAGAGGGUGAUCGGCACCCGGGGAAAGAGGACACGGGCCAACAUCCUGCGGGAGGCAGGGGAAGGAAUCCUUCGGGAGGGGGCAAAGGCUUAACGGGCAAACGGGGGGGAAGUAAGAAGGGGCUUCGAAGCGUAAAACUCUUUUAUUUGGGGAAAACAAAUUUGUAAUUAACGAGAAGAGUCUGAAGGGACCCAAAAAAGAAGGCACGGCCAAAUACGUG
rnacentral:rRNA from 1 species